UUGCUCACUUCCGCAGCACAUAUACUAAAAUUAGAAUGAUACAGAGAAGAUCAGCAUGGCUCCUUUAAUGUAAAUUAAAAAUGUGUAAGACGUGGUCCCUGUCCUC